AUACGUAGGGGGCGAGCGUUGUCCGGAAUGAUUGGGCGUAAAGGGCGCGUAGGCGGCCGAGUAAGUCUGGAGUGAAAGUCCUGUUUUCAAGAUGGGAAUUGCUUUGGAUACUGCUCAGCUUGAGUGCAGGAGAGGUUAUCGGAAUUCCCGGUGUAGCGGUGAAAUGCGUAGAUAUGCCACAGAACGCCGAUAGCGGAGGCAGCUCGCCAGGCCUGCAUUGACGCUCGGGCACGAAAGCGUGGGGAUCGAACAGGAUUAGAUACCCUGGUAGUCCACGCCGUAAACGAUGGGCGCUCGUCGUCGGCGGCAGACAGUCGGCGGCCAAGCGAAAGCGAUAAGCGCCCCACCUGGGGAGUACGGUCGCAAGGCUGAAACUCAAAUGAAUUGGCGG
rnacentral:rRNA from 1 species